AGGGCAUCUGACAAAGGAGGAAUCCGAGGCUCAGAGGUGAUGUAAGUUGGAAGUGGUGGCAAAAGCGCCAAACCCAAGUCUGCCUGACCAGAGUCCAAGCUCCCAUCUGACACUCUCUCCUUUUCUCCUCCCCACCCCACUGCGUCUCUGUGUAGGCCAAAGGCUCUCUCUGCUCUCCUCUCCUCCACCCCAAAGCAAGCCCUGGGGCACCCGGGUCACUCCAGAGCCUGACCCUGGGACAGUGAGGCUCCUCAGGUGGAGGAGGUAACCGCUUGAGAUCUGUCUACAACAGGAAACCUCCCCCGCGGCCUGCAAUCAAUCCAAGCCUCCCUUCCUUUGUGAUUUCACCCUGGAGCAAGGGCUCCAGCGUGACUCAUCGCCAGGCCUGCAGGAGCCUCCUCUGGAGAGGGGAGGUGACCUUGGCCAGGCACUCACAUCCAGUGCCUGUUUUGCUGUUCUAAGUGGGCAGCCCCAGGCUCCCACUGAGCUCGCCAUGGACUCUAUGAACACAAAGCACGUGGAAAAGAAUUUUGAAAACUGAAUGCAAAAUACUGACAAUUCCCUACUCCAACCUGUAUCCCACAUUCCAAGCCAGUACCUAAAUCCGCACAAUCAGAAUUCUGCCUGUGGGAGUCCAUGGGCACUCCAGUCACCUUCUUGGUGUGUGUCUGACCGGAAAUACUGGAAAAAAGGCGACAGGAAAACCAUCUUCAAAAGGCUGGCCCUACACAUCUUGUCCGGGGAUUCAGACCGCAUUCCUGCUCCAUGAGGCUGCUGGCCAGGCCAGCCCACCCCCUGAAGAGAGGGACACUGCUUCGCCCGUGUCUGCUGUGUUCUGACUCACAUUUCUCUGGGCUGUGGGACAGAGCUGAGUGCAAAGCUUCACAAACUCUGCUGAGUGGGAGGUUGGAAAUUAAAGGGAAAAAAGGGAUCUAAUUAAGCGGUGUAGGUGACAGUGUCAGGGAGAAAAUGUAAGCAAGUGGCAAUUUGGAUGUCUGCCUGCAAAUAAAAGAAAAGACUGUCGUUUUUUCAUCUGGCUCCUGUUUGCCCUAUAAAUCUCAGCUCACUAAUCCAAGUGUUUUAAUUAUCACUGUAAAAUACAGCACGCUGUGUUGCACCUAUCAUGGGGAAAUUAAAACAAAGGAGUGGGCAGAGGGAUUCAGGUUACCUCCUCUCCCAUUCCUCUUGUUUACACUAAUCUGAAGGUGUUUCUCCCCCUUCUGCCAUAAACACAACAUGAGGUUUUCCAGCAUUGAACAUAUUACCUCCCCCACUCACUAAAAGGAAUUUCUGACCCUGUGCUCUGUCAGCCCAAGCUACUCAAGGGCUGGGAGUCAUCUUCACCACUAUGGAUGCUUAAUUCUCAAGAAACCAAAAGAACCAGAUCCUGAAUUAAAUACCAGCUCCAGUUCUAAAAGGAGAGUCCCUCUACUAGGACACAGCAUGAAGACUGACUGAUAUUUAAAUAGCACCUUGCCUUGCACAAAUCACUUAAUCUCUCCCAGCCUCAUACUUCAAAUAAUAUAGUGAUAACACAGAGCCACGCAUGGGGGUGCACACCUAAAAUCCCAGUACUGGGGAAGCUGAGUCAGGAGGAUCACCAUUAGCUCAAAAUCAGGCUGGAUGAAUAGUGAGUCUUAAAAGAAAAAGAAAAAAAUAGUGACAACAGGAUUCAGU
ensembl:lincRNA